ensembl:lncRNA
AUAAAUCAGCAGCACUGCAAAGAAAAAGACUGAAGCUGGCAUGCUGAAAUUUGGGCUUGUGGCCUUGUAUUUGGAGGCCCAGCAGGUGUAUUUUGAGUCCUUCCAUGUAAAAAAAUGUGAUCCUAGAAUAGCACUGCAUAUAUUCCACUCAGAUUAAUGAUCUCUAGGUAAUCAAAAACAUGGCCCUAUGCAGUUAAAUUCAACUCAGAUUAAUGAUCUCUAGGUAAUCAAAAACAUGGCCCUAUGCAGUUAAAUGUCAUCUGGACCUAAGUUAGGAGCACUAGAUUUCUUUUAAUGACAGGAGACUUUAAAUCAAGAAGUGCUUGGUCAAAAGCUCUAUUGAAGAUUGUUUUCUGUGGAUGUGUAUCUUAUGGCUGAUGGCUCCAUUAAGUGAGUGGUGCAAACACAUCUUCUAGUCUCAAGCUUCUUUUUACUUUUGCCUCUGGUGAAUGCUCAAGAAUACAGAGGUUAUUAUAACAAGACAGUAGUAGCUUGAAUAAAAAGUUAGAGGUCAAAAAGAGUAAGCUUACUUACUUUGAUGAAUUUGCUAAGAAAAGUAUAUGUGACUUUGGCACAUUUUUUUUCUGGCCAAUUUGUUUGAGGGGAAGUUACAGAAUCAAAAGUUUUGAAAAGUGUGACACACCAAGUGAAUUCAUAAGCCAACUUUCUCCGCAAAACAAAGCUGAAAGGCACAAAAGCACAAAGCAAGGUUUCUGUGGCUGCUACAAACUCACUUCCUUGAAGUUAUCCUAUUGCUUUUAUAAGCUAAAUUGCAGUAUAGCCAAUGGGCAGAUAGAAGCAGGUGGGGGCCGACUGUGGACAUAUUCCAUCUGCAGGCCAUUAGGAGUCUGCUCCAGCUGCCCUGUGCCGUUCUCAUUAAACACUAAUCAAAAGGCUGGGCUCAUCUUUUUUGCUGUGCUCCCUAUUUCUUUUAAUGCACCUGCAAAUAAAAUGAAAUGGGCUUAAUGGACUGAGGCUUUGACUGAUUCUCAUAGCUCUGCUGCAUGGUCACUAGUUGCUUCUCUUGGUAAUUUACAAGGUUUCCUGCUGUAUGAUAAAACACAGGUGCUCAGGCUGUCAUCCAGAGCAAUGAUUUAUUAGCUUUAGUGGUACCACAGACCUCAGGCAGCAGGCACUAAAUCAAGAGAAUAUAUACUGAAAUAAUAUGUUUUCCAAUGAUGACCCAUGGAGACUCUUUAGCUGUUCAUGCCCUUUACCCACUGCUGUUGGUUUUGCCAUUUCUCCUCAUUAUUUUAAAGCCCUCAGGAUUCACUUCCUGUCUUAAUUUCUCACCUGCCAGGAUGGCCUCACCACCAGCUUUAUUGCUAUAGAUUUCUAGUCGAUCCCUCACACCACCAAAGAGUUUCAGCUAAUGAGUAGGACAAAGGGAACCUCAGGGGCUUUUUCAGGCCUCAGGGACACUCAGAAUUUCUAUUCUGGGCUUUACUUUGAUAUGGUUGCCAGACAGUAAAAGCUAACAUUGUCCUUUUAAAAAACUCCACUUUGAGUUUAAAUAUGUCUGGACAUUGUUUUGGAACAUUUCAUCUACUGAAUAUUUCUUCAUGGAAAUUUGUUAAGGGGUCCUGCCUUCCUAUUUUUAUGACAGUGACUAUCAAUCAAAGUGACUUCUUGCUGAUUAUCAGAGAGCCCUAUGAACAGAUCAGAGAGAUUUUUAAUUACUAUUAAACGCCUGCCAAACGUGGGCACAGGGAAGAAUCACUCAGUCAGUCAAAGCAGAAGCCUGGUGUGGACUCUGAAUUUUAAUGAAUGGACAGAUCAGAGAUGUAAAGGGAGUCCUACUAGGUAAGAAAGCGAAUAUCAGGAGCAAAAUGUCCAAAAUCAUGCUGAAAACUGAAAAAGGCAGGCUGAGAACAGAGAAGUCAAUGAUGUAAAAUAUUAAGUAAGAUAACAAAAAUGAACACUAAUUAUAUACAACAGACUAAAAAAAUCCAGAACUUUGCCCUAAAUAGGAGAUCCAAAGCUUCACUCCAAAGGCGUGUGGAGUCAGCGCUCAUUGCCUUGCCUGUGUAAGCUCAGGAAUGACAGGUGUAGAGCCGGGAUGACAGAGCAGCGGAAGCAGGGAGAUGUUAGAACCUUCAUGACUCAGGAUCCUGGGAUUUGCCAACACCAAAGUGAGAUUG